CCUUCAGAGCCUGGGGUUCGCCUACCUCCCUUGAUAUUCCCAUACUCCCACGGCCCUCUCUCUCUCUCGUGUGAUCGUAGGAAGGGGCGGUGGCAAUGAAAUGUUCAUAGAGACAGGAGAUCAGACGAGACAAAGAUGGAGAGCACGAUGGACGCGUUGAACGAGGCAUUCCAGGAGUUUAUUGGCUCAGCAGCGGCGGUUUUCGAAGCCAACGAUCUCUCCGGUGGGCAGAAGUCGACGGCCACAGACAACGCACUCGAGCGCUUCAAGCAUCAGUGGGAGAUCUUCCGGGUGGCCUGCGACCGUGCCGAAGAGUUCGUCGAGUCGGCGAAGCAGCGGAUCGGCUCCGAGUGCCUUGUGGACGAGGCCACAGGACCUGCACCAGCGCAGGAUGCCCCUGGCCUCGCCCCCAUCAGCGCCGUCCGGCUCGAGCAGAUGAGCAAGGCCGUCCGUUGGCUCGUCAUUGAGCUCCAGCACGGCUCUGGCAACCCCAACGCCACUGCUGCUGCUGCUGCUGCUGCCGCCUCCGCGGCCCAUCCUCAUGCAUCUACUCCAUUUGAUGCUCGCUUCUCCGAAGACCCAAAUCAAUAGGGUUGCGGCUGAAAGGAGGACCCUCACACUGAACAGACUGAAAGGAAGGUUGGCUCGUGGCACUGGCAUUCUUUUUUAUUUUCAUGGGAAGCUGCCGCAAUUUUCAUGAACUUUUUGAAAUAAGAGGAUGCAAUGAGAAAUUCAGAACUCUUGGAGCUUUUAAUUCAGUACAAGAGUUUCUUAACUUUCUUUAGGAGCAUCAGGAGUUUCUUUAAAAGCGUGGGGUGCUUGAUCCUGACCAAGGUAGAAGUCAAUGAUGUUAAUGGUGUUUGUGCAUAACGUUGUUCUUGUCUUGCAGAAUUUGUUGUCCAACCGAGGCAAGGCCAUGGAAAAAUUUUGUAAAUGGUUUCUUGACAGAUGUAGACCUUCCAAGAAGGUGACCUCCGACUGUCUAGCAUUUCAAUAUAUUUUGGGGAAUAUUCUAGUACCUCAUUAGGGGAAAUUGAAAUCAACCGGCUACUUUUAUGACUAAAUGGUUUUUUUUUUGUAUUAUUAAAAACUAUUGCAAAAGGUACGUUACAUUACAAGUAACUGGUCAUUGCAAUGUUUUUUA